rnacentral:lncRNA from 1 species
AUGCCACACUGUGCAGCCUGAGGGCUUUGACUUGCUGUGAAGUAUUGGGCAUUUCUCUCUAUGGUUCUUUUUCAUCAGGCAUCCUGGAGCCCAUGCACCUUAAACUUUGCCAGCCUCUGCUGGCCCUGAUCCCUUGUCUCUCAGGACACAGCUCAAAUACCACCUCCUCCAGCUCACCUCACGAGUCAUGUGGAAGCACCAGGAUCCCAUUCCUACCACUGAAAUUAAACAAAUGAAAAAAAAUUAGCAUGAAAUUCUUUGUGCGUGGACAGUGACCUGAGAAGACAAUAAGACAUUUCAAAGCAUUGAGUUAAGGAUAAUGAAGUUUAUAAAAUCUAGUGGCAAGAUAUAGCUGACUCUUGACACAGACAGAGGAAAGGCCAUGUGAGACACAGCAAGAAAGUGACCAUCUGCAAGCCAGGAAGGAGACGUUUUUUGGUUUUGGUUCCUCACCAGGAACCAAAUUAAAUGCCACCUUGAUCUUGGACUUCCAAGCCUCCAGAACUGUGAGAAAUAAAUGUAUGUUGCUUAAGCCACCCAGUCUAUGGUAUUUUGUUACGGCAGCCUGAGCUAAAAAAGACAUUUAGGUUGUUUCUACAUUUUCACUAUUAUGAACAUAUUGUAUUUCACAUAUUGUAUAUGUGAACACUCAUAUACAAGUUUUUAUGUGGACAUAUGUUUUUAUUUCAUUCAUUCAUAUAUACUUUGGAGUGAGAUUUCUGGGUCACAUGGUUUAGUAUUUUGAGGAAGUGUUUUUUG